AUGCUGACAUGGUGCUUUGGUACUCCUCCUGGAGGAGGAUCUACAGGUCUUGAUUCACUGGUGGGAGCCUUCAGUGCCCCUGUUAGUACCUAGACCAGAAACAUGU
rnacentral:snoRNA from 1 species